GAUGACGAUGGUCGUCGCACGACCCAUGAUGGAUGAGCUCCACCGGCGACGCCCACGACCUCCGAAGAAGGGGUGGAAGAGGGUCGAGCGGAGCUGCUCGCCGGGGAAGGGAAGGCAUCUGGCCAUGGAAGGGAGAGGAUUGGGGCGGUGGGAUCUAGAUCAAGAUUUAUUUCUUCUUCUGAGAACAUCUAGAUCCGAGAUUGAGAACGAGGCAGAGAGAGGGACGGUUUUUUUUUGAGUGGAGAAGGACUGAGCGAGG
rnacentral:rRNA from 1 species